GUGCUGGCUUCAGCAGCACAGAUACUAAAAUUGGAAUGACAGAGAGAAGAUUAGCAUGACCCCCAAGCAGAGAUGACACGCAAAUUUGGGAAGUGUUCCAUAUUUUU